rnacentral:rRNA from 1 species
UCGAGCGGCAGCACGGGUACGGUGGCGAGCGGCGGACGGGUGAGGCCUAGGAAUCUGCCUGGUAGUGGGGGAUAACGCUCGGAAACGGACGCUAAUACCGCAUACGUCCUACGGGAGAAAGCAGGGGACCUUAAUUCGGGCCUUGCGCUAUCAGAUGAGCCUAGGUCGGAUUAGCUAGUUGGUGAGGUAAUGGCUCACCAAGGCGACGAUCCGUAACUGGUCUGAGAGGAUGAUCAGUCACACUGGAACUGAGACACGGUCCAGACUCCUACGGGAGGCAGCAGUGGGGAAUAUUGGACAAUGGGCGAAAGCCUGAUCCAGCCAUGCCGCGUGUGUGAAGAAGGUCUUCGGAUUGUAAAGCACUUUAAGUUGGGAGGAAGGGCAGUUACCUAAUACGUGAUUGUUUUGACGUUACCGACAGAAUAAGCACCGGCUAACUCUGUGCCAGCAGCCGCGGUAAUACAGAGGGUGCAAGCGUUAAUCGGAAUUACUGGGCGUAAAGCGCGCGUAGGUGGUUUGUUAAGUUGAAUGUGAAAUUGCAAGCCCCGGGCUCAACC